rnacentral:lncRNA from 1 species
CUGCUUCACCAGCAAGACCAAUGUUAGGCCACUGUUAUCUUUAAAUGGAAACAGAGGAGGUGCUGCUAACUCUCAACCCUUCUCACUUUGAAGAUCACAGUGCAGGAGUUGUGGUGUUCAUAACAAGAACGCUCAUCUCUGAUCAAUGUUGACUUGGGAGUGGAGGGAAGAAGGGACUCAACUGAAUAAAGCCAUAAGGUAUAGUGCUGGGACGGACAGAAAAACGUGAGAACCUCCAUGUUCAGCUCCCACAAAUCACCAGAGGGGCCAUCAGGACUGUACAGAUGUGCUUUUGUGUGCCACAGGCUGCAGGACUUCCCUCAGCUCUGAGCUGAAUCCACUGGAGUGCCUCACACCUUCCGUCCUUGGAUUAAGUUGCCCACUAGUACCUCUCGUUCCACUUGCAGAGAACCUGAUUCUUUUACUGUUUCUCAGUGAAGUGGCUUUAACUCAAGAACUGAGAGAGAAGGAAUGCCAGGGGUUACAGUGAGUCUGGUCCUUACACCCAACAUAAUCCUCUGUUCCUACUGAAGUUUUGGGUGAAUUGCCUGCCUUUUAGACCAGCCAUGCAUUACUUGGAAAUGACAAAGACAGAGAGGACAGACAAAUCCACUACAUGACUGUAGUGCAUUGGAAAAGAAUCAAGGCAAGACUUAAAGAUUGUUUACUGAUUACUGCUGGGGGUCCAAAAUAUUUUCAGUACCUAUUUGAGAGUCUAUUAUCAGACCUGCGAGGUGGAUUUCUACAUUAUUUAAAAUCUGUAUCUUCAGAGAGCUAAUAAAUAACUAAUAUCUGAUGUCAUCCUCCCAGGAAACCUCGUGCCCCUUUUUAUAAUGGGGAUCUCCCUCUCCAGAAGAGACAUCAAGUAG